GUAGGAUCUCUCUGCAGAACACUCGGAUAUGAAGCGCAGAAGGUACUUUCUUCCGAUGCUGAUCUGGGCGGCCUUGCUGCUAAUUAUUCUGUGGAUUAAUACCAAGUACCCGGCUUUACGCUUGCAAGUGGCCGAAGAGAGUGACACGGACAGUUCAGUGGCCGAAGAGAGUUACCAGCAUGACAAUGAUAACCAGGACAGCUCUG